rnacentral:rRNA from 1 species
AUUGAACGCUGGCGGCAGGCCUAACACAUGCAAGUCGAACGCUUUUCGGACUCUUGCGUAAUUUCUGGGACACUGCCCGAUGGUGGGGGAUAACUCCUGGCAACGGUAGCUCAUCCCGCAUUCCAUCUUAUGUGCCCAUAUGGGAUUAGCUAGUAGGUGGGGUAACGGCUCACCUGGGCGACGAUCCCUAGCGGGUCUGCGAGGAUGACCAGCCACACUGGAACUUAGACACGGUCCAGACUCCUACGGGAGGCAGCAGUGGGGAAGAUUGCACAAGGGGCGCAAGCCUGAUGCAGCCAUGCCGCGGGUAUGAAGAAGGCCUUCGGGUUGUAAAGUACUUUCAGCGAGGAGGCGGGACGCGAAGAAGAAGCACCGGCUAACUCCGUGCCAGCAGCCGCGGUAAUAG